UACGUAGGGGGCUAGCGUUAUCCGGAAUUAUUGGGCGUAAAGAGCUCGUAGGCGGUUUGUCGCGUCUGCCGUGAAAGUCCGGGGCUCAACUCCGGAUCUGCGGUGGGUACGGGCAGACUAGAGUGAUGUAGGGGAGACUGGAAUUCCUGGUGUAGCGGUGAAAUGCGCAGAUAUCAGGAAGAACACCCGUGGCGAAGGCGGCUCUCUGGGACGGUACUGACGCUGAGACGCGAAAGCGUGGGGAGCGAACAGG
rnacentral:rRNA from 1 species